rnacentral:rRNA from 1 species
GCUUAAAGUAAGAUAAGUCGUAACAUAGUAGAUGUACCGGAAGGUGUAUCUGGAGU